GACGAACGCUGGCGGCGUGCUUAACACAUGCAAGUCGAACGGAAAGGCCCUGCUUUUGUGGGGUGCUCGAGUGGCGAACGGGUGAGUAACACGUGAGUAACCUGCCCUUGACUUUGGGAUAACUUCAGGAAACUGGGGCUAAUACCGGAUAGGAGCUCCUGCUGCAUGGUGGGGGUUGGAAAGUUUCGGCGGUUGGGGAUGGACUCGCGGCUUAUCAGCUUGUUGGUGGGGUAGUGGCUUACCAAGGCUUUGACGGGUAGCCGGCCUGAGAGGGUGACCGGCCACAUUGGGACUGAGGUACGGCCCCGACUCCUACGGGAGGCAGCAGUGGGGAAUAUUGCACAAUGGGCGGAAGCCUGAUGCAGCAACGCCGCGUGCGGGAUGACGGCCUUCGGGUUGUAAACCGCUUUCGCCUGUGACGAAGCGUGAGUGACGGUAAUGGGUAAAGAAGCCCCGGCUAACUACGUG
rnacentral:rRNA from 1 species